UUCUUGAUCUCUCUCUAAUUGGCAAUUGCAUUGCUUCCACUACAUUGCGAGUGUCCCAAUUGUUUCAUCUUAUUAUAAUCGAGAGUAGGAACAUUGGAUCUCAAAUUCUUGCCAUAAACUAUUUGAUUUGGAGAUUAUCUACACUGAUAAAUACUAUUACGAUACUCUAGUAAUCCGUCACGAAAUCAUCAUAGUUGAUUGUUCGAGUGUUGCAAACUCUUCAUAUUUUUCACAGCUGCUUCUGCCAUACCAUUGCUUUGAGGAAAGUGACCAAAUAGUUCAAUUUUUUCGUACAAAUUCUUGAAAUUUCUUUCAUGCAUAAACACUACCCUGAUCCGAUAUUAAAUUCUUGGGAUAUCCAAAAUCCCUGAACCACCUAGAAAACGUUUCAAUAUUUGAUCAGGAUUAGGAUCCUUUUUAUUCUCCUCUAUAACUGUAUAACUAGAUAGAGCAUCGACACACACAAUGUAAGACUUCCCAUUUAAUGAAAAUAAAUCCAUCGAUAUUGAUUCAAUAAAUUAUUGAAUGAAUUACAUCUGUCAAUAAUUCCUCUUUGCAUUGACUUGCUCUUUGAGUUUGACAUGAACCACAUUUCUCAGUGAUCAUUUCGAUUUCAUUAUUAAUUCCAGGCCAGUAAACAGAGUCUCGCGCACGUCUCUUUGUCUUAGUGAUUCCCUGAUGGGUUGAAAAGAAGUUAUAGCAGUACGUCUUUUUGACAUGCUUUUGGAAUGAUAAUAUGUUUUUCCGUCAGAACUAGUCCUUCGUCCAAUGUCAAAUCAUUCCAAAUAGUCUUGAAUAACUUCACAAAUGGAUUUGAAAAUAUAUUCUUCUGACAAUGACCGCUUUCAACAAAUCUUACUAAAAUUUGAUAGUCUUUAUGGAGCUUAGCUAUUUUCCUAAUUUCUUCUAUAAUAGGAUCUAUAAAUCCAAUAUUCCUCAUAUUUGUUUCCAUUACAUUGACUCUGGCUAUGGCUAAAAGUAAUAAAUCUUUCCCUCCAUCCUUGAUGUUUUCUUCUUCUGGGUCAUUAACAGGUGCUCUAGAUAAAGCAUCAGCAACUAAAUGAUCAUUUCCUUUCUUCCAUGCAACAUAAAAUUGGUAAUGUUUGAGAUCCAUCCUUAUCUUUUGGACUUUCGAUCUGAUUUAGAGAAUAUUUAUUAAAUAUUGUUGGGAGUAAUGAUGAUCAGUGACGAUUUCAAACUUUGGUAAUCCAGUCUGACCUUUCAAUCUGGAUGCAUCCGUUUCGAGGCGUGUUUCCUUCUUCGGAUCGAAAAUGGCGAGGACAGGGGUAUUCGUCAAUAUGUCGUUUACUUCUUUUAUAGCUUUAGUAUGUAUAUUGUACUAUACAAAUUCAUUCUUUAAUUUCAUCAAAUGUCUUAAUGAUAAAACUGAUUUGCUAAAUUUUGAUGAAAAUCCUGUGUCGGGAAUUCAUGGAUCGCCUACAACUUCUUUCCAUCCGAUGCUACCCCAUCUUUACGAAUUCUAUAGCCAAGAAAAUUGAUUUUCUCACGUGCGAAUUGAAAUUUCUCCUCGCUCAGCGUAAUACCAUAUACUCUACAUCUUAAUGAUAUCUUACGCACACUUUCAUCAUGAAAUUCGAAAUUUUCAUCAUCCACAAGAACGUCGUCAACAACUUUAUGAACAUCAUGAAUUCCUUCUAAAACCUGAUCGCAUCUACAACUAUAUGCAUCUCCAGUAGAAAUGAACCCCAUUGGUGCUCGCUUAAAAUAAAAUCUACAAUAUGGUAUUAUAAAUGUGGUAUUGGUACAAUAACAAUUGGAUGACACCAUUCUGUCACCUCAUCGUCGAUCUUCUUUAUUGCGUCUUUCUUCACCAUGUCUUCUAGCGUUUUUUUAACUUGAUCUCUUUAGCAAAAUGGAAUUUGUCUUGAUCCAUGAAGAGAAAUGGCAUCCUCUAAAAGUUAUAUUUUCAUCGGAGGGAAUUUCAUCGCCUUAAAUUCUUCAUCAGAGAUUGCAACUCAAAUAAUCAUUUCUGGGCCCUUCGGGAUCUUCUCACAAUGGAUAACAUAGCAGCCUUCUCUUCAAUUGGCAUCUUCUCGCGUUCUUAGGAAUUCACGGGCCUGACCUCUUUAAUGUUCUUCCAAAACUACCAACUUCGCCUUUAAGAGUAAAACUUAUGCACCUUGCUCCUUCGUGGUCUAUAUUAAAACUGUACACUUUAUUAUUCCUUUACACGAUCAUCUUGUAUGACAAAUAUAUUAAAC
rnacentral:lncRNA from 1 species